UGAGCUUUCGUUCGUAAAUAAUCAACUGUUUUGUCGCGGAUGUGCAGAACAGGAAAUGCGCUCUCGAAGAAACACGCAAUUUCCAAACCAUCGAUCAAAGCGUGCUAACGUUUUCUGAGGACAUGUAGAUGGUAUAAAUCAUGGCCGAAAGUUAGCGUUCGUCGGGACAUGUCAAUCAAGCCAACCGUCCGUUCAGAAACCGAGAAAUUUGACAUGGGCAGAUCUCUCACAUUCACUUCCGGUUGACGCGCAAGCUGGCUUAGCUGAAGUGUUUGUGAGUUUUCGUGAGGAUUUAUAGUUUAUGGACUGUUUUGAUUUCGAUAAUCACAUCUAGCAACGGAAAAGCAUCGAUGGCAUCGAUAAAAAAGAUCUUUGAAAGUGAAACUAAAGUGAUUAUUGCAAUGAAGAGGACGCACGAGAGGAGAGGACUCUGCGUUUGUUUCUGUUGAAGAUUAGUGAGCAGCUGGCACAGCUGGCAUCACAUCUCCAGGAGGCAGACGGGUGAUCCUGGGGUGAUGCUCAACACAGGAAGGAUGAAGAAGAUGUAGAGAGAGGCUAUCAGACAAACGCAGGAGAAGAGAACAAAGCACAGAGACUUCAGAACGGCCUGCAGAAACAUGGAUGAGAAAUAUGGCCUUUUGUUAAAACUUACAAUAAGGAAUGGGAAGAUGAAUCCAAGCAUGGUGAAUCCCAGCCAGCGCAGUAAGCCGGUGAACACAAAUGCAGCUGGGCGGUAUGAUUGAAUGAAGAUCUCAUUGGUUAUGGACAUAAGAACUUCUGAUGCCCCUAUGCCCAGAGUGACAUAACGGAUCUUGUCCACUGGAAUUCCCGCUUCCAGAAAUAUAUUGAAAGAGAAGACGGUGACCUGUGAGCAAGAAGGGUAAAA